rnacentral:snoRNA from 2 species
AUCCUUUUGUAGUUUGUAAACAGGAUGAUAGGGUUUUCACAUUUAUUAUGAGAUGUGCUUCCCUCCAACCUUGUUAUGAUGUUGAUGUAUUAUCCGUCUGAUG